GGCGAACGGGUGAGUAACACGUGAGCAAUCUACCCAUCACAUCGGGAUAACUCCGGGAAACCGAAGCUAAUACCGAAUAUGACCACUUCAGACAUCUGACGGUGGUGGAAAGUUCCGGCGGUGAUGGAUGAGCUCGCGGCCUAUCAGCUAGUUGGUGAGGUAACGGCCCACCAAGGCUUCGACGGGUAGCCGGCCUGAGAGGGUGACCGGCCACACUGGGACUGAGACACGGCCCAGACUCCUACGGGAGGCAGCAGUGGGGAAUAUUGGACAAUGGGCGAAAGCCUGAUCCAGCAACGCCGCGUGAGGGAUGACGGCCUUCGGGUUGUAAACCUCUUUCAGCAGGGACGAAGCGCAAGUGACGGUACCUGCAGAAGAAGCACCGGCCAAUACGUGCCA
rnacentral:rRNA from 1 species